rnacentral:hammerhead_ribozyme from 1 species
ACCCAUCUGAUGAGUUCUAAAUAGGAUGAAACGUGCGUCCUGCAU